AUUCUGACUAGACGGUGUGGUGAAGAUGGUACAGUCUGUUUCCAAACGCUCUGUGAACUGUUCAAGAGGCUGAAUGCCACACACACACUGUCUGAAGAUGCCCUGAUACACACCUGUUCUGUCCAAGAGAAACAUGAUAAACGCAGAAAUGAAAACCAUCUUGCUGUAGGGCUGCUCAUUAUUGAAUGGCAGUGGUGAGAUGACGGAGGUGGAGCCGGCGUUGGAUUUUGCAUCGUCGGGUCGGUCAGGUCGUCGAAAUGCUCUGCCUGACAUCCUGGGCUCUCCUGCCGGUGUCAGCCCCUCUGACCUGCCUCUCAAACUAGCUGAACUCUCCCUCACAGAUGGUCCCGGAGGAGCUCAGUCUCCAACAUCACAGGAAGCUCCACUCCCUCCAGAAAGCUCGGAGGAGAAACAGGGAUCCUGAACACACCUGUCCAACGUCACUGAUGGAGAAAUAAAGAAAAGGAAAUAUAAAGGUGAAAAUACCUCAGUGACAGCAUAUCUGUGCAGACUGCACACACUAUAGCCACUUCCUGGUGGACUUGCAGACUCAUGACUGUGUGUCUCCUAUUUCCUUGAAACCAUAGGAUGGAUGUCUCAGAUUACCUCUAGUCAUUGGUCAAGUGAUGUUCUCCAUCUGUGGCCAGUCAAACUAUUCUACCUGCAGAUUUGGCGGGUAGCAGGAACAUUAAGAGACCAGAAACAUCAGGAUGUGGCUUUAAAACCACCAGUGUUCUUGUUUUUAACUAAAACUAUUGAAAAAAAUUUAAAGUUAAAAAACCUUUCAAAUGAAAAUUAGAAAUCUUGCCUUGCAACUAAAUUAAAUAAAAGUACUAAAAUUACUAAAACUAAAAUAAAAAGAAAUUAAAGCUAAAUAGAAAUAUAAAAAACAAAAACCAAUAAAAAUGACAAAAGCACAUAACAACAUUACUAAAAUAUAAAAAUUAAACUAUUAAAUACUAUAAUAAGAUAUAAGUAAUACUACACAUGGAAGCCAUGGUCAUAAAUGACUAAAAUACACAGAAAUCACUUCACACAUAUUUCAAAUAGACAGGCAAACAAAAGUGGUUGGAGUAGCUGCAGCAUGUCAAAAUGGAACAUGGGCAUCUGUCAACAAAGACAUGUCUCUGCAAUGUAGACAGCUCUGUUAAUUAUGAUGGAAGUGAUCUAGUUGUGCGGUGUAGAUACAGUAAUCAAAUUUUAUUGAUGGAUAUGAACAGGCAGGCUCCUAUGUUUAUCUGUGCAUUUAUAUUACUGUUUUGGCAUUUUAAUAAGCCAUGUGGAAAACACACAUACACAAACACACAAAGUGACAUUCAUGAAGGCCAGAGAUGUAGUUUUCAACUCAGAACAUUCCUUAUAAAGUUGAACUCUGUGUAGGAGAGAUCUGGGGCCAUUGUGAUUGUCAUUGCCAUGAUGUCUUUUGGUAUAAGAGACAAAUAUAUGUUCCAACAGUUAUAGUGCUAUUAAAAAUAUUUACAUAUCAGAUGAUAAUAUUGCUGUGUCAAUAUAUCAAGAGGUCAGUUAAAAAUAAAUUAUAUUAACACACUGUAUAUUAAAUAAGUGAACACAUCAAUCAAAGUAGUAAUAUUAUGCUUUAAUAUUUAAUAAUAUUACCAAACUGUUCUUCGCCUUAUUCUUUUAACUGUCACUUUAAUGUAAGUCUAAGUGUACAUUUUUAAAAUCCUAUUUACUGAAAUGUAUUGAACAGUUGACAACAUGUAAACAAUCAUUAAUGAAAUAAUGUACUUUAAAUAUUUUUAAUUCAAUCCAUAUUUUCAAGAAAUUCAGUCAUACAUGUUUUAAUUCAUAACUAUUUAUUGCCCGUAAGCCCUAUAGCCAUAAUGAAAUUUUGGUUACACUUUACAAUAAAGCUUUAUUUGUUAACAUUAGUUAACCAUAUUAGUUGGAUACUAAAUUACUAACAAUGAACAAUACUUCUACAACAUUUAUUAGUAAUAACAAUCAAUGGUAAUUUCAACAUUUACUAAUACAUUUUUAAAGUCCAAAGUUGUAUUUGUUAACAUUUGUUAAUGCACUGUGAACUAGCAUGAACAAACAAUGAACUUUGAUUUUUACUAACAUUAACAUUAACUAUUUCACCUUCUUACAAGUAAAAUAAUCACAGUUCUUUCAGGCAGAGAUAGAACUGCCUCUCUAACUCUAUCUGUCAUCACACAGAUUUGUAAUUAAAGAAAUUUUGUGUUAUCAUUGCUCCUGGUAUCUCCUACUGCAUUAAAUAUCAGAGCACCUGGGUACUAUAAAAGUUUUCAUGUUAAAUAUUGCAGUUAUUGUGUAAUAAUCAGAGUGGCAUUUUAGAUAUGUGAAAGAGGCAGGUUACCUCUAACAUAUAAUAUGAAAGUCUUUGAAAGAUUAUAGAAUAUGGAUUUAUUCAAAGGAAACAGUGAUAGUUUGUGAUCAGCAUAUGUUGUGGGAGCUGGCACUGUCAUUAGUGUUGCCAACACAGUAUGCAUCAUGUCUGAAAACACAGCUUUCAAUGUCACCUUCUGCCAGUCAGCAGCUUGAGACAAGACGUCUGUUCACAGCUAUUAGCACAUUAAAAGACGUGCCAAUACAGAGACAACAGCAUCAAAGACCAGACAUGACCUCAGCCGACUGUCUUUAGAAAUGAGACUGUGUGCUCGCUGGGACGAGCCCUGAUUGAUAUAAAAAAUCUUUGAGAACAAUGAGUUUUUGUAAAUAGUGUAAUAUUGGGUUAUGAUGAGGGGUAUUUGCAUUUAUUUUUUACAUUUGGGAGAUUAAAUGUCCUACAUGUUUAUAUUCAAUAUUUUACACACGCAAAGUAUAUCAGGUCCUCUGUUUUGACUCUUUAUAGUGAUUUCUCAAAAAUCAGAAUUGAGUUCUUCUAAAUAGGCUACUGUAGUAUUGAAAGUGCCGAAAUUGUUUUGAUAUGUUUAUUGCUCUGUCUGAUUCUGCCUAUUUACACAUUCUUGUAAGUGGAGUAGGCUGAAACCAUAAUUAACUCUUUCUUUCUGAUAUUUUCAGGUAAUCUGCUCUUUUCUAGUCAAUCUUUUAUUGAAACUAUUUCAAAGGAAUGUACAGAAACACUAAUAAGUAUUUGGACACUUAAGUCACACUUAAAAAUGUCUAAAUAUCAUUGAAUUAGGAUAAAAAAAAAAAUAUCAUAGCAAGUGUCAUCUAAUCAAACAAAUGCUGAACAAAACUUUUAAUCAACUGAUGUUUUGGUGAUUUUUAAAGGGUUAGUUCACCAAAAAUGAAAAUUCUGUCAUGAAUUACUCACCCUCAUGUCGUUCCACACCUGUAAGACCUUCGUUCAUCUUCGGAACACAAAUUAAGAUAUUUUGAACUGUUUUAAAUAUGUCUUUAGUAGUUGCUGGCAAUGGAGGCCUCACUGAGCCAUCGGAUUUUGUCAAAAAUAUCUUAAUUUGUGUUCCGAAGAUGAACAAAGGUCUUACGGGUAUGGAACGACAUGAGGAUGAGUAAUUAAUGACAGAAUUUUCAUUUUUGGGUGAACUAACCCUUUAAUGGAUGUAUGAAGUUCCCACAGGUGUUACCAGAGUUACCACAGAUUUUGACAACAAAAUACUUUUACCUUUUGUUAUAUUGUUGCAAUAUCAGUACAUCUAUUGCUUUAUCAUUUCAAAAGCUGAAUUUUUGCUGGAAAAUGUACUUGUUUUCUUUAAAAUAACACUUGCUUUGAUAUUUUGUAUGUAAUGCGAUAACUGAGAUAUAUUUUUAAGUGUGGUGUAAAUGUCUAAAUAAUUUUUAAAGCCAUUGUAUGUGGCUCUUGUCUGUGAGUUCGACCUUUCAAAUGAAUUCCUAUGUCACAAAAUAAAUCACAGAGAAAGAUGGGAUGAA